GGCUCAGAGCGAACGUUUGCGGCGGGCCUAACACAUGCAAGUCGAACGGGCAGGGGCAACCCUGUCAGUGGCGCACGGGUGCGUAACACGUGGGUAAUCAACCCUUUGGACUGGGACAACCCGGGGGAAACUCGGGCUAAUACCGGAUGUGGCGUGGCGGUCCUCGGACUGCUCCGCGAAAGCUCCGCAAGGGGCACCAGAGGACGAGCCCGCGUCCCAUCAGCUAGUUGGUGAGGUAAUGGCUCACCAAGGCGAAGACGGGUAGCUGGUCUGAGAGGAUGAUCAGCCACACUGGGACUGAGACACGGCCCAGACUCCUACGGGAGGCAGCAGUGGGGAAUAUUGGACAAUGGGCGAAAGCCUGAUCCAGCAAUGCCGCGUGAGUGAUGAAGGCCUUAGGGUUGUAAAGCUCUUUUACCAGGGAUGAUAAUGACAGUACCUGGAGAAUAAGCUCCGGCUAACUCCGUG
rnacentral:rRNA from 1 species